rnacentral:tRNA from 4 species
GCUCCCAUAGCUCAGUUGGUCAGAGCAACCGGCUCAUAACCGGUGGGUCCUAGGUUCAAGUCCUAGUGGGAGCACCA